GCAAAUUCCAAACAACCAUGUGAUGGAUGCGUUGCUCCUUCCUUUUAUGGCAUAUUGAUCCAUCAUGUCCGAUAAUUUCUACAGUCAAAGAGAAAUUCGAAAGUCGGACUUUUUCACACCGAGUUUUCUUGACGAAACAAGAUCCCAGCGAUGUUCGGCGAUACCAUCCAAGCUCCGUUGCAUACUGUACUCACGUGGACUAUAGAGAAACUGCACGGGAGAAGACUACACAAUUGGGGAUGUUUGCAAUCCACAUAUAAGGCGACAAGAAAAAAGAGCAUGUCCUCGUAUCCCCCGGUAGCAUCCUCAGGUAGCGCCUGAAAAUGGCUUUGCUGAUAAGCAUGAAUGGGUUGGAGACCCGGUCGUUUUCUCGCCCAGGAGAGGCGCGAGUGGUUGCUGGCGGUAUCUCUGCUGCACACCGGACAUGGAUGAGUUGCUUGCCAGACAAGACGACAUCAAAUAAGGCAAUAAAUCAACAGUCUGUCUUGUCUUGUAGUUUGUUAGUUUUAAACGCAACCCGUGGUGAGAACCUGUUGAAGCAAGCAAGUCAGUCAAUAUUCGCGGUAAGCCUGGUGUUAGUGAAUUAGGGCUGAGACUGUACGGAGAGCCUCGUAGGUCACGCUUCGAAGCCAAAGGUGUCGGUGGUAACUGCUGUGAAAUGUAAUUCCUACAGACC
rnacentral:lncRNA from 1 species